rnacentral:rRNA from 1 species
CCUACGGGUGGCAGCAGUAGGGAAUCUUGCUCAAUGGGGGAAACCCUGAAGCAGCAACGCCGCGUGGAGGAUGAAGGUUUUCGGAUUGUAAACUCCUUUUGUUAGAGCAUAUAAUGACGGUAUCUAACGAAUAAGCAACGGCUAACUCCGUGCCAGCAGCCCCGGUAAUACGGAGGGUGCAAGCGUUACUCGGAAUCACUGUGCGUAAAGAGCGCGUAGGCGGGAUAGAAAGUAAGAUGUGAAAUCCUAGGGCUUAACCAUAGAACUGCACUUGACAAUGUUAUUCUAGAGUAGGGGAGAGGUAGGUGAAAUUCUUGGUGUAGGGGUAAAAUCCGUAGAGAUCAAGAGGAAUACUCAUUGCGAAGGCGACCUGCUAGAACAUAACUGACGCUGAUGCGCGAAAGCGUGGGGAGCAAACAGGAUUAGAUACCCGAGUAGUC